rnacentral:rRNA from 1 species
AGCGUAGGUGGAUAUUUAAGUGGGAUGUGAAAUACUCGGGCUUAACCUGGGUGCUGCAUUCCAAACUGGAUAUCUAGAGUGCAGGAGAGGAAAGUAGAAUUCCUAGUGUAGCGGUGAAAUGCGUAGAGAUUAGGAAGAAUACCAGUGGCGAAGGCGACUUUCUAGACUGUAACUGACACUGAGGCUCGAAAGCGUGGGGAGCAAACA